rnacentral:lncRNA from 1 species
GUUGUUUGAAAAGUACAUGAUUGUCCUAUUUAUAGCAUAUCCUUACAUAGUAGGAUUUAUUGUCCACUACCAUACAUUCAUCAUAGGACUUAGAAAAUUUCCACUAACAUGCUUAUAAAUUCCCACAAGCCACUAUAAUGACUUAGUGCACCACUAGGAAGCAUCUAGAGAGCCUAGGGAGCAACUAAAGGUCAUCUAAAAAACUCUCCUAAUACCAAAAAUGAAAAUUACAAUAAAAAUAAAGAAAAUUGGACUUAAUUGUUUUUUUAUUUAGUCCAAUAUUAUUAGACCAUAAUUCAGCCCAAAGAUGUUUCUUAUCAUAUGAAUUGGGCUUCAAGUUGGGCUCAAGCAUCUUCAUCCAAAUAUAUUUUUUUUAUGCAUUUUUUUAUAAGUUUCCUUCCACAUGUUUAGGGAACUCAUGAUCGUAUCAUUCUCUCCCUCUUCAAGAGGAUUUGUCCUCAAAUCCAAACCUGCAUAAAUAACUAAAGGAUUAGUAAAAAAAAUUCUCUCUUUUGGAUAUUCCCUUUCUUUUUGCAAGUUGAAUUUUUUUUUUUUCAAUCUUCUCAAAGUUGACAUCUUUUUCAACCUCCUCAUUUAUUUUUCUCUCAUAAAUUUCCUUUGCUUCACAUUCAUUUUUCUUUUCUUCUUUUCUCUCAAUAUUUNNN